AGAGUUUGAUUCUGGCUCAGAUUGAACGCUGGCGGCGUGCCUAACACAUGCAAGUCGAGCGGAGGAAAGGAGCUUGCUCUUUUCCUUAGCGGCGCACGGGUGAGUAACACGUGGAUGAUCUACCCAUCAGUAGGGAACAACAGUUGGAAACGACUGCUGAUACCGUAUACGAUCUAUUUCAACGUUAGAUGAAAGGCGGCCUCUGCUUGCAAGCUGUCGCUGAUGGAUGAGUCCGCGGCUCAUUAGGUAGUUGGUGGGGUAACGGCCUACCAAGCCUGUGAUGAGUAGCCGGCCUGAGAGGGUGAACGGCCACACUGGGACUGGAACACGGCCCAGACUCCUACGGGAGGCAGCAGUGGGGGGGCGAAAGCCUGACGCAGCGACGCCGCGUGAGGGAUGAAGGCCUUCGGGUCGUAAACCUCUGUCAGGAGGGAAGAAAUGGUGAGGUGCCAAUCAGCCUCAUCUUGACGGUACCUCCAAAGGAAGCACCGGCUAACUCCGUGCCAGCAGCCGCGGUAAUACGGAGGGUGCAAGCGUUAAUCGGAAUCACUGGGCGUAAAGCGCGUAAAGCGCGCGUAGGCGGCGCGAUAAGUCAGGGGUGAAAUCCCACGGCUCAACCGUGGAAUUGCCCUUGAUACUGUCGCGCUCGAGUGUGUGAGAGGAUAGUGGAAUUCCCGGUGUAGGAGUGAAAUCCGUAGAGAUCGGGAGGAACAUCAGUGGCGAAGGCGACUGUCUGGCACAAUACUGACGCUGAGGUGCGAAAGCGUGGGUAGCAAACAGGAUUAGAUACCCUGGUAGUCCACGCUGUAAACGAUGGAUACUGGGUGCCGGGGGCAUGACCCUCGGUGCCGUAGCUAACGCGUUAAGUAUCCCGCCUGGGGAGUACGGUCGCAAGGCUGAAACUCAAAGAAAUUGACGGGGGCCCGCACAAGCGGUGGAGUAUGU
rnacentral:rRNA from 1 species